rnacentral:rRNA from 1 species
UACGUAGGGAGCAAGCGUUGUCCGGAAUCAUUGGGCGUAAAGCGCGCGUAGGCGGCCCGGUAAGUCCGUUGUAAAAGUCGAAGGCUCAACCUUCGAAAGCCGAUGGAUACUGCCGGGCUAGAGUUCGGAAGAGGCGAGUGGAAUUCCUGGUGUAGCGGUGGAAUGCGCAGAUAUCAGGAGGAACACCUAUAGCGAAGGCAGCUCGCUGGGACGUAACUGACGCUGAGGAGCGAAAGCGUGGGGAGCGAACAGG